UUUUUUUUUUUUUUUUUUAAUGCUUCAAUAUCUAUUUAUCUUCUUGAUUUCUUUUUUGUAGGUUCCAGUUAUCUGCUGAACUUUUUGAGUUUGGCUUUUAUCUCCUUGGACAUAGUCAGGAAGUCAUCAAAGGUGCUAAGCAGGAGAGUGAGAGGAUCCAGGUUAUGAAUCGUUCACAGAAUUCAAUGUGUUCUCUUGUGUUUUCCUCUAAGGGGGGAGCAAGGGGGCUGAAGUGCCCAGGAAGAUGGCACCAUUUCAUAUGACUCCCUUUUGGAGCCAGAGUUCAAAAUAAAUUGGGUGGAGCCCAUUGAUUUUAGUUUUCUUUUUUUUGUUUUCCAACCUGAUUGACUCUGACUGGAAAGAGCAGAUUGAUUCAGAUGCUUCUAAUUUUCUGCCUGCUUGACAAAGCUCACCUCUUAUGUUUGCUUCCCAUCUGCAGAAGGUGCUCUGUCUCCUUCUGCUGGACCUGCACCAUCCUGAAAGGAUGCCUCUGCCUGAAAGGAUGACUCCAGAUUCCUCUUCCUCUAGGAGGCUUGACUUCUGCGGUUCUGCAGAUCUAAAGACAGAGCCUACUUUAUAAGGCAGAGGCUGCAAACCACAGACCCCAGGUCUCUCCCAGGUUCCUAGUGUGUGUAUGUUUUCACACACCCCUCCUUUUUAUUCUUUUUUUUGUCUUUUUAGGGCAGCACCCGUAGCAUAUGGAGGUUUCCAGGCUAGGGGUCUAAUCGGAGCUGUAGCCACCGGCCUACACCAGAGCCACAGCAAAGCCAGAUCCAAGCCAAGUCUGCGACCUACACCACAGUUUAUGGCAACGCCAGAUCCUUAACCCACUGAGCGAGGCCAGGGAUUGAACCCACAACCUCAGGGUUCCUAGUUGGAUUUGCUAACCACUGAGCCAUGACAGGAACUCCUCACCCCCUUUUUUUUGUCUUUUCUUUUUAGGGCCCACCUGAGGCAUAUGGAGGUUCCCAGCAAACCUUCAUCAUCGUGGCUCCCUCCCAACCAGCCUGUCUUCUGGACCAGACCUUAGCAGUGACCAAGUGGCUGGAGAUAUGAAAGGCCAGCCCCUUGCCUCAAAACAGGAUUGAGCCGCAGUGCAACUUGUGCUCCGGAGCUUCUCCAGGGGAUCAUCCUCAAGUCAGGAGACCACAUCCUUGCUUAGCUUUGACCAGUACCCUCUCCUGCCUCCCUCACACCUCUUCUCCUGGAAGCUGUACCCCAGUGAGGCACAUGGGCUCACACCAGGCUUCUAAGAAGCCAGGCUUCUAGCAAGACACUGCAUAUCAGAACCAUCUGUGGAAUGUCAUAAAAAUACCUAUAUCUGGACCUAAACACCUAGAUCUACUGAUUCAGAAUCUAUAGAUCUUCAGGGGUGGGGUCAGGCAACUGUAUGUUGAUAAAGCCUAAUAGAUAUUUCUCAUACAUCUUUACCUUUCAACAUUCUAUACUGAAAUUUUCAAACCUACAGAAAUAACGAAAGAGUGGUAUGAUAACACCUACAUAUGCCUCAUCUAGACACAUCGAUAUUAACAUUUCCCCCCAUUUUCUCCUUUUAUCCUCUUUUCUUCUCUCUUCUUAUAUCAAAAAUAAUUUGUGAGCAAAUUAUAGACAUCAUGACACUCCUUCCUUAAAUACCUCAAACAAGUAUCUUCCAAAAAUAAAGGCAUCCCAUAUAACCCCUGAGAAAAUUAUUAUUAAUUCAUUAAUGUCAUUAGAUGAUACAGUCUGUAUUUAUGAUGUAUGUUCCACAAGGAACUAUAUUCAGUAUCUUUUAAUAAACUAUAAUGGAAAAGAAUUUUUAAGAGAAUAUAGAUAUAUACAUACAUGUUGGAAUGACCGAAUCACUCUGCUGUAACCCUGAAACUAACAUAAUACUGUAUAUCAACUAUACAUCAGNUACUGUAUAUCAACUAUACGUCAGUAAAAAAAAAAAAGAACAAAAAAGAUGCACCCUCUUUUUUAGGUCAAGGGUUGACAUUUUCUCUACUGUAGGUACAAAUGAAGGUCAGAGAAGGGAAAUACUUGUGUGAGUUGGAGAGCAAAGAGAAACCUUCAAGAAGGAAAUAGGAUUUGAAUGGGACUGUGGAGAACUGUUUCAGGAAAGGGAAGAGGAGAAAAGGUUCCAAGAGAGGUAGGUGACUAUUACACGCAAAGGCACAGAACUGGAAAGAAACUGGGCUCUUCUUGGGCCUGGUGCCUGAGCAGACCAUGCCAAAGCGACCGAGGCUGCCCAUGGAUGGGGGCAGAGCGUGAGGCUGGACAGACACAUGGAAGCAGAGUCCAAAGGGUCCUGCAGUUGAAGCAGUCAAGAAACAGGGACCGCAUACUGGUCUUAGGAGAGUCCCAUCAGAUUUUCAGAACACAUUCGGGUGGAAAGUAGGAAGAACAAUGCUUAAUGAUUUGGAGUCAAAAUUAGGCUAGGGAAUUCAUCAGGGGCUGAAGUCAUUUAUUCACAUGUUCAUUCUACCCACAUUUUCUGAGUCCACGAUAUUUUCCAGAUACCAGUCUAAGCACAGGAAACAAAAGCCCAGAAGGUCCCUACUUUGCUGGAGCUCAGGUUCCUGCAGCGUCUGUGUAUUGGGAGGGAGGAGGGGCAGGAGAUCAUUCAGUCAGAUGAGUAAAGGAACUGAGAAAAGAUUAGAUUAGAUUGAUGGUGAUAUGGUUAAAGUGAAAUAUAAAAGAAACCAAUUUAAUAGCGAUUGGAACCUGCUUUAGUGUUGGUAUUCAGGCAAAGAAAUAUUUAAAGCACUGUUAUGCUGGAGCCAGCUGCCAAUUCAGAAGAACAGAUAUUUCCACAAUUGUGUGAGCUGUUUGACAUGCCAUUGGCAGUAUUAAACGGGCCACAGCAGAAUAUCUAUUGUGGUUCUGUACUACAAGUCUACAAAUUCUCUGCGUCAGAUGCUACAAAUCGUGGCUUCAUUUUUCCCAAAGAGCUGGAUGUUGAACACUUACCGGCACUAACUUAACGAAGACCUACAUGCCAGGAAGGCAGCAAUGUGACAGUCCAGGAGAUAAUAUUCUAGGCAAUUAGUGCAGAGUCCCUACGAUGCAGAAAAAAAACUGGGCGUGAUCAAGGAACACUAAGACAGCUGGAGUUUGGCGACACGUUGGGGAGUUGGGGGCAGGGCAGAGGAUGAGGAUGGAAAUCGGCAGAAGCUGAAUCACUUGGGGCCAUGACGGCCUGUCAUGACAUUGGGGUUUUUACUUUGAAUGUGAUGGUAAAUUAUUGGAGGAACUUUAGCAUAAAGAUAGCAUAAUUUGAAUUAUGUUUUAAAAAGAUCACCUUGGCUGUUAGAGAAAGGAUUGGAGGAAGGGAAGAGGGACAGGAAAGAACUCAGCUAAGAAUUUAGCAUUUAUGAAGCAAUGUAUAUACAAGGUCAUUUUGCAAUGUUGCACCACCAAAUGGCAAAAUAUUGGAAAAUGCCCAAAUGUCCAACAGCAGAGAAAGAAACUGAUGUGUCAAUCCAUAAAACGGAAGUGCUCAAUAGUUGUUUUAUAAAAAUAAAGACACUCUACCUACUAUUAAUAAAAUAUCCCCAAGACAGGUCAUUAAAUGGAAAUAGAGUUGGGAAUUCCCAUCAUGGCUCAGUCAGUGGAAUCUGACUAGUAUCCAUGAGGAUGCAGGUUCAAUCCCUGGCCUCACUCAGUGGGUUAAGGAUCUGGCGUUGCUGUGAGCUGUGGUGUAGGCCAGCAGCUGUGGUGUAGGUAGCAGACCCGGCUUAGAUCCUGUAUUGCUGUAACUGUGGUGUGGGCCAGCGGCUCAGCUCUGAUGCGACCCCCACCCUGGGAACCUCCAUAUGCCGCGGGUGCGGCCCUAAAAAGGUAAAAAUAAAAAAAUAAGAAAAUAGAGUUGGUACAAAGUAGAUUGUAAAGGAUAAUGCUUUCUGUAUAAAAUGGGGGAGUGGGGCACAAAUUAUACUUAUGGAUACACAUUGCAAAAUAGCUAAAAGGGAUUAUAACAAACGAAGAGAUAAAAGCGUAUUCCACUGCCAUUUUCAGAGGUCAGAAAGGAUCAUGCAUUGGCAAUUGCAUAUGGUUUGGCCUACGCUGUUAUUUAUUCUUUCUUUCUCAUGUGGGAUUUGCUAGAGGAGACAAAAGCAGAUGUGGUGCAGUCUUGUGAGGGGCACUUUUUACUGCAUGCCCCCUUUAUGCUUUAUGAAACUGUGAGAAAAUGGUCUUCGAUUCCUUAUUUUAAAAUUAGGUAGAUACAUGAUUGACAGGUAGGCGGAAGAGCUGGAGAGGGAUGAGAGGACUCUUGCAAAGGUCCAGUCGAAGUUUACGGCCCCUGAGAUUAGAGCAGUGGCAGGAGGGAUAAAGAGGCGAAGGCUUGGGAACCUAUCUCUGUGAUAGAGUGGAUAGGACUGGCUGUGAGAUUUUUUUACGUCUGUGGUGAUGUACGGGAGGAAAACAGGGAAGAGAAGAGACAUCCUCCCUUGAGUAAUUAGAUGUAGUUGUCUGGGCAGGGAAGUCAAUGGUGGUACCAUCUACUAAGAUAACAGCUAGGGAAGGAGCAGGUUUGGUGGGCAGAAUGAAAACGCUGGGAAACAUCCUAUUUGAGAGGCUUAUAGACCCUGAUGUGGCUACGUCAAUUAAGGGACUGAGACAGCCAGACCUGGGGUUCAGGAGAGAGUUUAGGGCUUUGAGGUCUGAAGUCAAGAGUUAUCCCAAUUGUCAGAGAGAAAGAAAGGCAUUUUUUAAGAGAGAUUCUGGCAAACUUCAAGGCUCUUUCUUCUCCCUUUGUCCUGGAACUUCAUAGACGUUGCACAAAGGAAACUCAGAUGGUCAGGGAGCAAUGCUUGAUCCAAGAGAAUCAGAACACAUGUCCCCACAUUUAAAUGCCGUUGCACCUGCAACAUUAUGUGUUGUUCGAUCCUGGAGCCCACAAAUGUUAUCUAGGAAGCUGGGAGAAAAGGCUGUCCCAGAGCAGGGAGGCCCCUCAGACCUGGCCAAUAGCAGUUUUGCAUCCACGGCUGGUAGCUUUUCCAGAGUGUCGAAUGCAACACAUCUUCCUACUACUUCAGUGGGAGGUGCAGAGGCACAAAGAAGUUCAAACAGGAGCAAAGCUGAAACGGCUCUCCUCCCCCCAUCAAACUAGCUAAUCCAACUGUUUUUAAAAGAAACAAAACUCAAAGCGAAACAGGGCUCAGCCAUUGAAAAUGGCUUAAACUGACCUGGUCACAUACAGAACUGGGGAUAAAAGAGUAAGUGACAAAAAAAAAAAAAAAAAGAUACAUGGAAACAUGAUAAAAAUUAAAACUCUGGUGAGCUCUAAGGCUCAGGCUCAGUGCUCAGCAGGUUUUGGCAUGAGCUUGGCAGUGGGGAUGGAACAGCCUUGGUUUGCAGAAGGAAUAGGAAAACCCAGGCUCCCACCACACCACACACUCAUAUACAGGGAAGGUGGUCCCUGGGCACUUCUGAUGGGUGUUGAGCUGUUAGCCCCACAUCCUCGAUCGGUUGCCAAAAUGGAUAAUUAAACCUAGUCGUUCUAAUGAAAUCCCCUCAUCCUCUGCAUUGCAGAGGGGGUUCCAUGCAGCCUUAGGGGAGAGGGGAGCUGGGGGACAUACACCCCAGGCAGAAGAGCAUCCAUGGGGCACAGAAUGAAAUACAGACGAGUCAUUAACUGGUGAGGGCGAGCCCUGAGGGUGACUCAGUGAGAAAUUUGGGACUGAAACUGGACAACAUCAGAUCAAAACGUCCAGGGCUGACCCCACGAAACAAAAUCCAAUUUUUUGGUUGCCAAACCAUCUAACGUAUACUUAGUUUGGGAUUAUGAACAUCUGGUCUUAGUUCACCCUGGCGAGAAAUACACGUAAAUUGGGAAGCUAAUAGCUCUCUUGUCUACUCAGAAAUCUUCCACAGAAAGAGGAUGUAACUCUUUAUGUAUAUAAAUGCAUACGUUGUUCUUACACUCAUUGCUGCUAUUAUUGGUUCCAUGACUGACAAGGAAGGAAGAUGGCAUUAAACUUAGACAAAAUUUGAGAUAUAUAUAGAUUUAUUAAUAGACAUGUGCAGGUUCUUGUUGGAAACCCAAAGCUUGGUGCCCUGAAGAUUCUUACAGAAAAAGAAAGAAAAUAGUAAACUCAUCUUUCUUCGUUGGGAGUGAAUAGACUGUGAAGGCUCUCAAGAUUACCUGGUGCAGAUGAUUCCUGGUGGUGUUUCUGCCCAGUCUGUGGGUAAGCACAGACCCAGGAGAGUCUGGUUUUAUAAUCUGUGUUAUGUUCUUACUAUCCUUCCAACAGUGGGGGCUUGCUACUGACCCUUACUGGGAGAUCUCAAAAAAAAAACAAAAACAAAAAACCCUCCAACCCUGAGGGAUCCAAAGAGAUACCCAAAACUGUACAUUAAUAUGAUAAACCUAAGACAGGAGCGAGGUUUAUCUGGGGGAGGAAUGAAUUAAGGGAGCUAUCCUGACAGUGAAAUGCAUUAUUACCUAGUUAUGCAUGCACUCUUGGCUUUUCGGCUGAUGAACUUUUCACACCCAAAGUGGGGAAAUUAAUCAACUUUUCCUCCCUGCAAGUCUUCUAUCUCCUCUGCCGUCUCACCUAAUUGUUUUGCACUCAAUAUGGACAAAGACAUUGUUCUCAUUUCAACUUUCUCUACAAAGCUCAGGUGUCCUUAUCUGCCUCUGAAACUCAUUCUCACCUCA
rnacentral:lncRNA from 1 species